rnacentral:lncRNA from 1 species
CACCAUUGUUAUUAUAGUCUAUCCACACUAUAUUUUCUGGUAAGAUGGAGGAUGAUUAGCAAUGUGAAAAGACUAUUAUACCCCUCUCUUCUCUCUUUCACGUCCUCCUUCUCCUUCUUCAAACCCCAACUAUCACUAACUACACAACCUCUGGGGAAAUUGAAACAAAAGAAAAUUGAUUCACCACCAUCUAAUCCAUCUUCUUCUUUCUAUUCCUCUUUCCACCUCCACAUCAAAACCUUCAUCAGAUUUCUGGAAAAUCAAAUUCUCCCUUCUCUGAGAUUGAUUUCUAGAAAGUCACAACAACAUCAACAAAUCUUCUCAUUCAAUUUCCAUCUAAAAUAUGGAUUCUUCUUGUUCGUUCACAACAACAGAGCUUCUCAUUCAUAAAUUCGCUCCUCCUCUGCCGGAGCAAGAAACCAAACCUCCUUUUACGGCACCGGCGAGAGAAAGAAUAGCAGUCUACGUCAUCAUCUAACCAAUUUUGCAUCAGAUCUAAACGAGCCUUGUUCAACGCCGGUUUAUGAAUUUUAUUGAAGAAUUUGAGGAUCUUGAUGAAUCUGAAGAGAUUGGAUCUUUUUUCUUUUUUGUUCUUUUCUCAAAUUUUGAAAUGAAGAAAUUGAAAAAGGAAUGUGUGGAAUAUUUGUGUAUGAUUUUUUUGAAUUAAAAAAUGGAGUAAUAAAUAAGAUGACAUGUUUAUUGUUGUUUUGAAGAAAGAAUAAGAGGUUCUGACGAGGGAAAGAAGAGAAGGAAUAAGGAAGAAGAAAGAUGAAUAGUGGGUGAGAGGCAUGUGAGAGAAAGUGGUUGGGGAAGAUAGGAAGAUAAAAAUCUAGUGUUGAGGGACUAUUGUAAUAGUGUGUUCUUUGUAUGAUUCAUUGGUUAGAAAAGAUUUUCCCAUGGUGGGAAAGAAAUCUCCUUUCCCAAAUUAAAUGCCACCGAAAAAGAUUGUUGAUCUAGGAGUAUGGAUUGUGGACGUAGUACUAAAACAUUCUUUUGUUUCAAACAUCAUAAAUUGAGUUGUUUCCUUCUUAUUUUUAUUAACUCAUUUAUGGAUGUGUAAGAACUAUAAUUCGAACCUUCAUUUUAGUUAUCUCAAUG